rnacentral:misc_RNA from 1 species
GAUGAAGAACGCAGCGAAAUGCGAUACGUAAUGUGAAUUGCAAAUUCAGUGAAUCAUCGAGUCUUUGAACGCACAUUGCGCCCCCUGGUAUUCCGGGGGGCAUGCCUGUCCGAGCGUCAUUGCUGCCCUCAAGCACGGCUUGUGUGUUGGGCCCCUUCCUCCGAUCCCGGGGGACGGGCCCGAAAGGCAGCGGCGGCACCGCGUCCGGUCCUCGAGCGUAUGGGGCUUUGUCACCCGCUCUGUAGGCCCGGCCGGCGCUUGCCGAUCAACCCAAAUUUUUUAUCCAGGUUGACCUCGGAUCAGGUAGGGAUACCCGCUGAACUUAAGCAUAUCAAUAAGCGGAGGA